GUUUUGUUAGUAUAGUGGCCAGUAUCACUGUCCGACACACGGAGACUGGGGUUCAAUUCCCUGACAGGAAG